UACGUAGGAGGCGAGCGUUGUCCGGAAUCACUGGGUGUAAAGCGCGUGUAGGCGGCCUGCCAAGUCUGCUGUGAAAGCGCCUGGCUUAACCGGGCGAGGUCGGUGGAAACUGGCGGGCUGGAGGACGGUAGAGGGGGGUGGAAUUCCCGGUGUAGUGGUGAAAUGCGUAGAGAUCGGGAGGAACACCAGUGGCGAAGGCGGCCCCCUGGGCCGUUCCUGACGCUGAGACGCGAAGGCGCGGGAGCGAACGGG
rnacentral:rRNA from 1 species